GUCUUAUUGAAUAUUAAUUUUAAGUCAAUCUGCCCAGUGAAAUAUUUAAAUGGCUGCAGUAUACCUGACUGUGCACCGGUAGCAUAAUAAUUUGGUUUUUAAAUGAAAUCUGGAAUGAAAGGAUUAAUGAAAUAUAUACUGUCUCAUAUUUAUUAAAUGAAUUUAAAAUUUUAAUUAAAAUGUUAAAAUUUAUUUAUGGGACGAUAAGACCCUAUAGAAUUUUAUAUUAAAUUAAUUUUAUAUUAAAAUAAAAUUUAAUUUAAUAUUUAAUUGGGAGAAUUAUUAAAUUUAAUAAAUUUUAAUUUAUAUAAACUUUAAUUUAAGAAUAAAUUAUGAUCUUUAAUUUAAAAUUAUUAGAUUAAAUUACCUUAGGGAUAACAGCGUUAUAUUUUUUUAUAGAUCAUAUAGAAAAAAAUGAUUGCGACCUCGAUGUUGAAUUAAGAUAAAUUUUAAAUGCAGAAGUUUAAUAAUUAAGUCUGUUCGACUUUUAAAAUCUUACAUGAUUUGAGUUCAAAUCGACGUAAGU
rnacentral:rRNA from 1 species